rnacentral:lncRNA from 1 species
AGGAAAGGCAAAGAUGUGCAGGAGAGAUGCCCAGGAGCGGGAACACACACAGCUUGGUGACUGAAGGUUGGAGGGAGAGCGGGAGGCGGUGGUGAGAACAUGCGAGGUAGGGAAACUGAGGUCCCAAUUUAUUAAGAAAAGGGCUUCACUCCAACUGACGACCCAGGAUGGUGAGCAAGGACCAGGGCGUAAGGAUCACUCUUCGAAAUGUCAACAAUCAUGAAAUCUUUUGAAAAGGAGGAUGGAGCACAUAGCAAGGAAAGACAUAUGUGUCUCUUUGCUAGUGAUGCCAAUAACCUGAAGAAAUGACCAAUGGCAGGAAUCUCAUCAGCACCUGGGCAGGUGAGCUGUCUCCAGCCUGGAACUCCUCCAGGGAGCGUGUCCUCAGAGCCAGCCCUGACUAGGAUGACAGUGUGACCAG